AUACUUGGCUCAACGGUUAGAGCAGCCGCCUCAUAAGCGGUCGGUCGAAGGUUCGACUCCUUCAGUAUCC
rnacentral:tRNA from 1 species